AACGAACGCUGGCGGCAUGCCUAACACAUGCAAGUCGAACGAGACCUUCGGUUCUAGUGGCGCACGGGUGCGUAACGCGUGGGAACCUGCCCUUAGAUUCGUAAUAACUCCCCGAAAUGGGUGCUAAUACCGGAUAAUGUCUUCUGACCAAAGAUUUAUCGCCUUUGGAUGUGCCCGCGUUGGAUUAGCUAGUUGGUAGGGUAAAAGCCUACCACUGCGACGAUCGAUAGCUGGUCUGAGAGGAUGAUCAGUCACUCUGGAACUGAGACACGGCCCAGACUACUGCGAGAGGAAGCAGUGGGGAAUAUUGGACAAUGGGCGAAAGGCUGACACAGCAAUGCGGCGUGAGGGAUGAAGGCCUGAGGGUUGUAAAGCAAGUUUACCCGGGAAGAUAAAGAAAGUACCGGGAGAAUAAGCAAGGGCUAACACAGUG
rnacentral:rRNA from 1 species